rnacentral:lncRNA from 1 species
CACCCCAGGGGGUGCCCACAUUUUAGCUUGCUUGUUGCUGGGGAAAAGACUUGCUGCUUUGUGUUUCAUUUGAUGAAGAGCUUCUUUUCAUUUAGUCAGUCACUUAUUUCCAGAGGUUUCCUGGUGAUGUUGCCUUACAUUUAUUUGUGGAAAUGCCAGUAUGUUUUAAGCUUGCAGCUUCCACAAGUCAGGAUUCCAGCCACGGCUUAGCUGGAUCCUCUCAGAAGGCUACGAUCAAGGUGUCAGCCAGACUGAGUUCUCAUCAGAGGCUCGACUAGGAGAGGAUCUGCUUCCAAGUUCCCUCAGGUUGUUGGAAGGAUUCAUUUUCUUGUGGCUAAGCUCACAGCAGCUUUCUUCUUCAAGGGCAUCAGGAGAGUGGAGAGCAAGUCUACUCAGAGACUUCUAUACAAAUCAUAAGGUAAUCACAUGAGGGACAUACCAUCAUCUUUGCCAUAUUCUGUUGGUUACAAACAAGUCAUCAGUUCCACCUGCACUCAAGGGGAGGAGAUUAUACAGGGUGAACAUGGGGGCCAUCUUAGAAUUCUGCCAACUUUACAGUUGAAACAGUAUUUUUUAAAAUGCCAAUGAAAUCCAAGAUAGAGAGUUUAUCUUGGAUAAACUUUUAGCACCUUUUGAUUAACAUACCUGUUGGACUUUACAACUGUAAGAUUAGUAAGCACAAGAUUCCCCAGUAUUUCAAGGAUUUAAAGGGAACAUGGUAAAAAGGUACUCUUUGCUAUGCAAAAUCUAGCAAUCUAGCAUUGCUGUGGCCCUGGCCAGUUUGCAGCUCUGGCCCAAAGAGGGCUGCUGAGUCCAGCCCUGUCCACAUUGUAUAGGAGCACACCUGAAUACAUCACGCAAUCCUGUUUGUGGCACCACUGAUGAAUUACCCCUACUCAAGUGAACAGGCAUUGAGACUGUAAGGGGACCACAGGGUCUGGUUCAUUCUCCACAAACACAGUCUUCCUUGAAUGUCAGCAGUGAGUUUAGUCAUCUCAUUAGGAGACUUGAACAGAAGUGAAGGUAAACACUCUUCAUGUCAGAAAAAAAUAUAACGUGGUAGGUAGUAAGAUAUGUAAAUAAAGGACUACAGUUCUCUGCCUUUUGAAAGCAUACCUGUGCUACUUGUCUGAAGUAAAAAAAAAAAAAACUGUGCAUUAUUCUGUAUGCAGCAUCUUUUGCAUGUGUUCAUGUGUAUAAACAGGAUUAUGGGUUAUGAUGUAGGAAUUGAGGAUAAACUACAUUUUAUAUUUUUUCAUAUUGUGGAAAGAAGAAAUAAACUAUACUCCUGUGUUAGCUGGAUUCUCUGAGAAGCAGAUGCUGAAAUUGAAUUAGAAGGGCAAAAGGUACAUUGGGAAGUAACACCUGUGAGGACGCAGGAUUUGGCAAAGAAUGUUGUGUCUGCACAACUCUAUGUGACCCAUAAAAGUCAUAGAUCUGGCCUUUAAUUUUUUAAAAGAAUCAAGAAGCUCUAUGAUUUUGUAGUAUCUGGCUCUUGUUUAUAAUGAUUAGAACUAUCUCACAGAACCUCAGGGGCUUAGGCAAAUUCUCAGAGGUUGUCUAUGCCAACCCUUCGUUGUUAGACAGGGAUGCAUCAAAUCACCCUGAGUGUGGGGAACAUUUCCACCUUUGAGAUGGCCCAGGUAAGUGGUUUUACAAAAUCCUUUGUUCAGCUGUUUCACUAAGAGGUUGUAGACAUUGGAAUCUUUCUAACUAAAUCACGUCUACUCCAGAUUAAGAGUAGGAUAGUAUUCUCUGGUGGCUCCUUUCUUUUUGCUAGUCCCUCACAUGUUGGGGUUCACUAAUAUCUUCUUCUCUUCUUUCUUAUGAGUCUUCCCAAGAAAUCAUUCAGCCCAUAAUGUCAAUAGUGCCGAGGCUGAGAAAUCCUGCUGUGUAGAGACAACUCCCAUUUCACAUCCUCUGCCCAGGUUUCACUCCCAGGCUCCACAUGCCAAGAUGAGGAAUUUUCAAUCUAUAUUCUAAAUAGAGUAAAAAGCAAGGUCAUCAAAUGAAGAGGUGUUGGGAGCAAGACUGGCUUAUUCCAUUAAGCAUAGUAGUCUAAGUGCCUGCUUGGGACCCACAAUAUUUUCAAGGGCCCAUGAAAAAUGUUUUAAUUUUAAUUUCUUUUGAAAUCAGAAGGAAAAAAUGCAUAUUGUAACAAUGAAUAUAUAAUAAUAAAUCACACUUGGAUUGUGUUUGUCUUUAUAA